rnacentral:rRNA from 1 species
AUUGAACGCUGGCGGCAGGCCUAACACAUGAAAGUCGAAGGAGUGGCUGACGGGUGCGUAAUGUCUGGGAAACUGCCUGAUGGAUGGGGAUAACUACUGGAAAUGGUAGCUAAUACCGCAUACCAUCGGAUGUGCCCAUAUGGGAUUAGCUAGUAGGUGGGGGAACGGCUCACCUAGGCGACGAUCCCUAGCUGGUCUGAGAGGAUGACCAGCCACACUGGAACUGAGACACGGUCCAGACUCCUACGGGAGGCAGCAGUGGGGAAUAUUGCACAAUGGGCGCAAGCCUGAUGCAGCCAUGCCGCGUGUAUGAAGAAGGCCUUCGGGUUGUAAAGUACUUUCAGCGGGGAGGCGUUACCCGCAGAAGAAGCACCGGCUAACUCCGUGACAGCAGCCGCGGUAAUUC